rnacentral:rRNA from 1 species
GAUCCUGGCUCAGGACGAACGCUGGCGGCGUGCCUAAUACAUGCAAGUAGAACGCUGAAGGAGGAGCUUGCUUCUCUGGAUGAGUUGCGAACGGGUGAGUAACGCGUAGGUAACCUGCCUGGUAGCGGGGGAUAACUAUUGGAAACGAUAGCUAAUACCGCAUAAGAGUAGAUGUUGCAUGACAUUUGCUUAAAAGGUGCAAUUGCAUCACUACCAGAUGGACCUGCGUUGUAUUAGCUAGUUGGUGAGGUAACGGCUCACCAAGGCAACGAUACAUAGCCGACCUGAGAGGGUGAUCGGCCACACUGGGACUGACACACGGCCCAGACUCCUACGGGAGGCAGCAGUAGGGAAUCUUCGGCAAUGGACGGAAGUCUGACCGAGCAACGCCGCAUGAGUGAAGAAGGUUUUCGGAUCGUAAAGCUCUGUUGUAAGAGAAGAACGAGUGUGAGAGUGGAAAGUUCACACUGUGACGGUAUCUUACCAGAAAGGGACGGCUAACUACGUGCCAACAGCCGCGGUAAUACGUAGGUCCCGAGCGUUGUCCGGAUUUAUUGGGCGUAAAGCGAGCGCAGGCGGUUAGAUAAGUCUGAAGUUAAAGGCUGUGGCUUAACCAUAGUACGCUUUGGAAACUGUUUAACUUGAGUGCAAGAGGGGAGAGUGGAAUUCCAUGUGUAGCGGUGAAAUGCGUAGAUAUAUGGAGGAACACCGGUGGCGAAAGCGGCUCUCUGGCUU